UACGUAGGGAGCGAGCGUUGUCCGGAUUUAUUGGGCGUAAAGGGCGUGUAGGCGACUUUCUAAGUCUGGAGUGAAACUCCGGGGCUCAACCCCGGAACUGCUUCGGAUACUGGAGAGCUUGAGUGCUCUAGAGGGCAGUGGAAUUCCGGGUGUAGCAGUGAAAUGCGUAGAUAUCCGGAGGAACACCAGUGGCGAAGGCGACUGCCUGGGGAGUAACUGACGCUGAGGCGCGAAAGCUGGGGGAGCAAACGGG
rnacentral:rRNA from 1 species